rnacentral:rRNA from 1 species
GAUGAACGCUGGCGGCGUGCCUAAUACAUGCAAGUCGAGCGAACAGACGAGGAGCUUGCUCCUCUGACGUUAGCGGCGGACGGGUGAGUAACACGUGGAUAACCUACCUAUAAGACUGGGAUAACUUCGGGAAACCGGAGCUAAUACCGGAUAACAUGUUGAACCGCAUGGUUCAAUAGUGAAAGACGGUUUUGCUGUCACUUAUAGAUGGAUCCGCGUCGCAUUAGCUAGUUGGUAAGGUAACGGCUUACCAAGGCAACGAUGCGUAGCCGACCUGAGAGGGUGAUCGGCCACACUGGAACUGAGACACGGUCCAGACUCCUACGGGAGGCAGCAGUAGGGAAUCUUCCGCAAUGGGCGAAAGCCUGACGGAGCAACGCCGCGUGAGUGAAGAAGGUCUUCGGAUCGUAAAACUCUGUUAUUAGGGAAGAACAAAUGUGUAAGUAACUAUGCACGUCUUGACGGUACCUAAUCAGAAAGCCACGGCUAACUACGUG